UGGGGAUGAGCCCAGCAACAGCUUCCUGUGCGGGAUUCAGCAAGAGUCCCCAGCCCUGACAGGGUGCCUGCAUGUGCCAGAGGCUCUGGGCUCUAGUGGGUGAACAGGACCGUCGAGAGCCCUAGCCCCGUGGACAUUAGGGGCUGCACACUGAGAAGGAAACUAAAAUGCCCCGCCGGCCCCUCCUGACUUCCAGAGCUCUGAGCAAGGGUCCCUUUGCCAGUGUGGAACCGCAGCCUGUCGUGGGUUCACCGGCCAUGUCGCUGAAGGUCUGUCUGUCACUAGCAGAUGCAGAGUCACGAGAUUCGAUUUAUACGUCACCAAAGUAAAAACCUUCAAGACACACCAUUACAGAAAUUAACGGACAAGCCACAGACUAGAAGAACUCAUUUGCGAAUCAUGUAUCCGAGAAAGGACUGAAUACAGAAAGAGGCCUUAAGACUUAAUAAUAAGGAGGCAAGUAACUCAAUUAAAAACUUAAGUUUAAGGGGCGCCCGGGGGGCUCAGUUGGUUGAGCCUCUGACUCUUGAUUUCAGCUCAGGUCAUGAUCCCAGGGUCGU